ACUCCUACGGGAGGCAGCAGUAGGGAAUCUUCCACAAUGGACGAAAGUCUGAUGGAGCAACGCCGCGUGAGUGAAGAAGGGUUUCGGCUCGUAAAACUCUGUUGUUAAAGAAGAGCAUAUCUGAGAGUAACUGUUCAGGUAUUGACGGUAUUUAACCAGAAAGCCACGGCUAACUACGUGCCAGCAGCCGCGGUAAUACGUAGGUGGCAAGCGUUGUCCGGAUUUAUUGGGCGUAAAGCGAGCGCAGGCGGUUUUUAAGUCUGAUGUGAAAGCCUUCGGCUCAACCGAAGAAGUGCAUCGGAAACUGGGAAACUUGAGUGCAGAAGAGGACAGUGGAACUCCAUGUGUAGCGGUGAAAUGCGUAGAUAUAUGGAAGAACACCAGUGGCGAAGGCGGCUGUCUGGUCUGUAACUGACGCUGAGGCUCGGAAAUAGUGGGUAGCAAACAGGAUUAGAUACCCU
rnacentral:rRNA from 1 species